rnacentral:rRNA from 1 species
UACGUAGGGUGCGAGCGUUGUCCGGAAUUAUGGGGCGGAGAGGGCUCGUAGGCGGUUUGUCGCGUCGGGAGUGAAAACCAUGGGCUUAACUCAUGGCUUGCUUUCGAUACGGGCAGACUAGAGGUAUGCAGGGGAGAACGGAAUUCCUGGUGUAGCGGUGAAAUGCGCAGAUAUCAGGAGGAACACCGGUGGCGAAGGCGGUUCUCUGGGCAUGAUCUGACGCUGAGGAGCGAAAGUGUGGGGAUCGAACAGG